UACAGAGGUCCCAAGCGUUGUUCGGAUUCACUGGGCGUAAAGGGUGCGUAGGUGGCCAGGUAAGUUUGGUGUGAAAGCUCGGAGCUUAACUCCGAAAUGUCAUUGAAUACUAUCUGGCUGGAGGGUCGGAGGGGAGACUGGAAUUCUCGGUGUAGCAGUGAAAUGCGUAGAUAUCGGGAGGAACACCAGUGGCGAAGGCGACUACCUGGCCUGUUCUUGACGCUGAGGCGCGAAAGCUAGGGGAGCAAACGGG
rnacentral:rRNA from 1 species